CCAGGGGCCACCUUCGGAGCUAUAGACGAUGUGCACUGAUGAGCCACGGUGGGAGGGGGGGAGCGUGGUAUUUUACUGGAGAGCUGCACUAAAUAAACACCAGGGCUUAUUCAGGCAGAAGGGAAAUUGUUCAAGAGAGAAGUGUGAGAAUGCAAGAGGCAGGCACUAAAGAGCAAAAACACAACUGUGGUGUUUCUUUUUCUUUUUCUUUUUUGUGGCACGGGACCUUCACACUGAGUUACAUCCUCAACUUUUUUUAUGUUCUAUUUUGAGACAGUGUCUUGUUAAGUUGGCCAGGCCUGGGCUGGAAAUGUGUGAUCCUCCUGCUUCAGACUCUCGAGUAGCUGGGGUUAGAGGUGUGUACCAGCACGCCUGGGUGGAUGGGGUUUUUGAUUGACCUUGAAGCAGCCUGACCUCCUUAGCUUGGGGGCCCCUGAGCUCUCCCACUCCUGGGCCUCUGGACCAUGGGGAUUGGAAGGGGAAGAGCAUGCAGUUUCAGCAGACAGACCAGUGGUGGAGGAGUUGAGUCACCAGUGCAGAGCCCAAUCAGCCUGACCAUGUGGGCAGAGGCAAGAGGCCCCACAGCAGCCCUGUCUUGUGAUGUCACAGAGGAAAGUCCCUGCAUAGGGCGGCAGGCACACUGGUAGGGAGGCCAUGGUGGGUGCUCCUGAGCCUGGAAAAGAAGAGGAGGAGAGAGCCUUGUCUUCCAAAGGGGGAAAUGCACCAUGUGGAGUACUGGGGACCUGCUCAGUUUUCCAGCCAGAGAUCACCAAACUUUGCUGUGCUUCCCAAACUCCAGAUCCUAAAAAUCCCUUGGGACCUUGCACCUUGAUCCUCUGCACCCAGAACUGUGUCUCCCAGCCGUGCUCCAGAGAUUUCUGUCCUGCAAUGAACAGUCACAAACACCCAGAAACAUCAUCAAACAGCCCAGAAGUUCCUUUGGUAUAAUCAGAUCAUCUGAGAUUCCAAAGACUUCCUGGUGACCCAGAGUUAUUAGAUCAAAAAGAAGGGAAAAUAUUGAAAAGAAGAAAUGAAGGGAAGAACAACAGUUAAUGAAAGAAAGGAAUGCCACACACAAGGCAAAAAUGGAGAAUCUCUGAGAGCAGUGUAAGGUGAUGCAGGAUGUUCUGGCCAAAGUGAAGAAUAAAUUGCAAUGAUGAUGGGUGACUGAGAAUGUGAGCAGGGCGAGCUUCCAGAGAACUUGUGGAUGAGCACUCACAAGAAAGAAAUGUCUGAGUGUUUAACAGAAAAUAAAUUCCUAUGGUAUAGCAAGUCUG
rnacentral:lncRNA from 1 species